AUGUACAUAAAAUUUGUGAAGAUGUAUGAAGUUAUAUCUUCGAGACAAAGAUUGUAGAAUGUUUCAACUUUUUCCUAUUUGUAUAACCGGAAAUCACUUUUAAUUUAUUUAUUUACAAAAGAGAGUUCUGCUAAAUUUGUAAACACGCGCGUUUACGCAACUCUCCUUUCUCUUUUCUUCUUCUUCGUACGUAUCUCUUGCGUAUACAAUUUACCGAGUACAAUCACUUGGAAUGAGUUUUGUAAAAAAAAACACGGAAAACGACGGGAUCGACAUUUCUAUUUGAACGAUUAUAUAAAUCGGAUCGGUUUACAUUAAUUAGAGAGAAUUAAAAUUUAAAUCUGAUUAAAAGCGCGUGUUCGAAAAAGAAAAAGAAUAUGAAUUUUUAUGCAAAGAAAUUCAUGUAACUUGGUGGAGACUAUAGUUUUUCCUCUUACGCAUGCCGGAAGAAUCAUUCAUCUUCCACAGCUUACGUACGGUGUCACAGUCGAUUGCGAGAGAUCGUAGGUAAAAGCAGCCGAGCUCGGAACGCUUUCUACAAUUAAUUACAACGCACGAUAGCGUCCUCUACGGUGGUCCUUAAUUUGUCGCUACAUCAAACGCAAAUUGAUUAUCAACUGGUGCCACUGGUGGCCGCUAAACAUUCGCCACGAGUCGUUAAUCUCGCACGAAACGUUUCUCCUCAUUCUCGAACCGAGUCCGACCACCGUACGUAUCAUGAGUCACGUCUCCUCUGAAUCGCGUCAUUAGUUCGUUGUAAUCUUCCACCAGUCUCCCUCCCCCUCUCUCUCUCUUGCAAAUAAAAUAAGAAAAGAUAGAGAGA